rnacentral:rRNA from 1 species
CGAACGCUGGCGGCGUGCUUAACACAUGCAAGUCGAACGGAAAGGCCCUGCCUGCAGGGUACUCGAGUGGCGAACGGGUGAGUAACACGUGGGUGAUCUGCCCUGCACUUCGGGAUAAGCCUGGGAAACUGGGUCUAAUACCGGAUAGGAGCCAUUUUUAGUGUGAUGGUUGGAAAGUUUUUUCGGUGUAGGAUGAGCUCGCGGCCUAUCAGCUUGUUGGUGGGGUAAUGGCCUACCAAGGCGGCGACGGGUAGCCGGCCUGAGAGGGUGGACGGCCACAUUGGGACUGAGAUACGGCCCAGACUCCUACGGGAGGCAGCAGUGGGGAAUAUUGCACAAUGGGCGCAAGCCUGAUGCAGCGACGCCGCGUGGGGGAUGACGGCCUUCGGGUUGUAAACUCCUUUCGCUAGGGACGAAGCUUUUUGUGACGGUACCUAGAUAAGAAGCACCGGCUAACUACGUG